UAAGUUAGGCAGAAUUCUGGAAGACCGCCUGGAGAAGGGCGCUGUGGGCUUCCCGCGCACCCCGGCCCAGCCCCGCUUACCCACCUCCCGCCAUUCACGGGGCUCCCUCCUUUCCGGGCGUGGCCCAUGCGGAGCCCAGGGGACCGAGCGAGGAUGCUGCCAGGGCCAGCUUUGCGUACCGCUCACCCUUGCCUGUUAAAUCUAGGCCAGUACAAGACCGCAUUCAGAACUUAAACCCACACCAAGCAGAGAAGACCAGCAGGUGA
rnacentral:lncRNA from 1 species